UACAGAGGGUGCGAGCGUUGUUCGGAAUUAUUGGGCGUAAAGGGCGCGUAGGCGGUGCGGUAAGUCACCUGUGAAAUCUCCUGGCUCAACUGGGAGCUUGCAGGCGAAACUGCCGUGCUGGAGUGUGGGAGAGGUGCGUGGAAUUCCUGGUGUAGCGGUGAAAUGCGCAGAUAUCAGGAGGAACACCAAUGGCGAAGGCAGCUCGCUGGAACGGUACUGACGCUGAGACGCGAAAGCGUGGGGAGCAAACAGG
rnacentral:rRNA from 1 species